rnacentral:rRNA from 1 species
CUCAAAUUUGAAAUCUAGCACUUUCAGUGUUCGAGUUGUAAUUUGAAGAAGGUAACUUUGGAAUUGGCUCUUGUCUAUGUUCCUUGGAACAGGACGUCACAGAGGGUGAGAAUCCCGUGCGAUGAGAUGUCCAAUUCUAUGUAAAGUGCUUUCGAAGAGUCGAGUUGUUUGGGAAUGCAGCUCUAAGUGGGUGGUAAAUUCCAUCUAAAGCUAAAUAUUGGCGAGAGACCGAUAGCGAACAAGUACAGUGAUGGAAAGAUGAAAAGAACUUUGAAAAGAGAGUGAAAAAGUACGUGAAAUUGUUGAAAGGGAAGGGCUUGAGAUCAGACUUGGUAUUUUGUGUUCCUUAUUCUUUUUGGAUUUGGUUCCUCACAGCUUACCGGGCCAGCAUCGGUUUGGAUGGUAGGAUAAUGACAUUGGAAUGUAGCUUUGCUUCGGUGAAGUGUUAUAGACUUUGUUGAUACUGCCUAUCUAGACCGAGGACUGCGUCUUUGACUAGGAUGCUGGCGUAAUGAUCUUAAGCCGC